rnacentral:lncRNA from 1 species
UCUCAGAUCCAUUUUCAAAAUUCAAACCUAAAAGCACGUCCUCUUUCUUCCCCUAAAAUCUAUCCAUUUUCAAAAUUCAAACCCUACUCUCCCAAAUCUCUCUCCCUCUCAGAUCUUCGCCAAAACCCAGGGUGCGUCUUCAACAUCAAAAGGCCUUUUUCUUCUACGUUAAUCUCAAAAAGAGAUAUAUGCAAGAACAUGAUGAAGUGGAUCUUUCAACCCUUGGAAUGGCUUUCAUAUUUUGAGCGGGAUGAAAACAGUGGACUAAAUUUGGCUCCGCGUGUGCAAUAAACUGGUUGACAGUCAAGAUGUUGAAGAAUCAAGUUAGGAUG